rnacentral:rRNA from 1 species
CCUACGGGAGACUGCAGUGGGGAAUAUUGCGCAAUGGGCGAAAGCCUGACGCAGCGACGCCGCGUGAGGGAUGAAGGUCUUCGGAUCGUAAACCUCUGUCAGCAGGGAAGAACGGUCACUGUGCUAAUCAGCAGUGAAUUGACGGUACCUGCAAAGGAAGCACCGCCUAACUCCGUGCCAGCAGCCGCGGUAAUACGGAGGGUGCGAUCGUUAAUCGGAAUUACUGGGCGUAACGCGCUCGUAGGCGGUAUGUCCAGUCAAGGGAGAAAUCCCCGGGCUCAACGUGGGAAAUGCCUUUGAAACUGGCAAACUGGAGUGUGCGAGAGGGUAGUCGAAUUCCAGGUGUAG